rnacentral:rRNA from 1 species
CGGCGAACGGGUGAGUAACACGUGAGCAACCUGCCCCGAAGACUGGGAUAACACCGGGAAACCGGUGCUAAUACCGGAUACCCCCACCAGGCCGCAUGACCAGGUGAGGAAAUGAAUUUCGCUUCGGGAGGGGCUCGCGGGCUAUCAGCUUGUUAGUGGGGUAACGGCCUACCAAGGCGACGACGGCUAGCUGGUCUGAGAGGACGACCAGCCACACUGGGACUGAGACACGGCCCAG